AGAUGUAGAGAUUGCACAGAACAGUUGUGGUGUGUUGUAUAUUGAAAUUAGGAUCGUAGAAUACAACUGUUUCUUGUUUCGGGGUCACGAAUAGAAAUUUAUGAAUAGCAGUUUCCGCCUCCCCCCUCAAUAGGCAGUAUGCAAAGACACCGAAACUUUUUUUUUUUUGGCUUAUAUUGUGAUGUAAUAAAGGAAAAGGUCGUUUGGAGGAGAGAGGAGAGAGGAGAGUCCUUGAUACUACAACCGUUCUGUUUCCAGUCUGUGUUAGAGUGUUGGACUACAUAGUGACAAGGCAGCUAGACAUCAGCAGACCCGAUGACUAACUCAGAGAAGACGAUGGUGAUGAACGGCUUUGCGGCCUCACCAUCACCACAGAAAGAAGAGAGGGGAGGCAAGCCCGAUUAUGGUGUUCUCCUUUACAUUCCAAACCUCAUAGGAUACACUCGUCUGCUCUUGCUUCUGCUUGCCUUCUGCUUGUUACCAGCUUCACCUGCCUCGUUUGUUACCCUCUACUCCAUCUCUAUUACGUUGGAUGGUUUUGAUGGUUAUGCAGCACGCAAAUUACAUCAGUGUUCCCUCUUUGGAGCUUGGUUUGAUGUGAUUUUGGACAAUCUGGGGAGGGGACUCCUGUGGGUACACAUACAUCCGAUGUUGUACCUGGUAUCAAGUAUUGAAUGGAUGGCAUUUGUUUGUAAUUAUUCAUUUGGUGCUAAAUGGCGUGAGAGUCUCAUUGAAGGGCCCAGAGCUCAGCAGCCUAACACUUUGGUCACCUGUAUAUUGGCUAAUAACUUCCGUAAUGUUUGGGGAGUGUGGGUCAUUGCUGGCCUCCAUGUGCUUCCCGUGUGGCUUCUCGGGAUUAAAUACAACAUCUUUGAGACGCAUUUGUGGUUCCUUCCUCCCUUUAUUCAACCAUUAGGUAUUUUGCUCCUUGGAAUGGGGAGGCUGCUUUGCUUCUGUGUUGAAAUAUGGAGUAUAUGGAACCACAUCUAUGGUCUUCUUAUGAACACAUCUUCUUGCUGAGACUGUGCAGAUGCAGGCACUGUGUCUUGGUAGCCUCGUCGUAUGACUGCCUAUGGUGUCUCUGAUGGAAUGGAAUGUGUAUCUGCAACCAGUCACAAUCAUGUUUGUUGCUGGGGAGUGAAUGUGAAGGACCUAAUAGCCUAGAUGAGGAGAAGUGUUGAAAGUGUGGUUUGGUUAACCCAUUCGUGCCGGGUGACGUGCUGACACGUUUCAUGGUUUUUGCCGGUGACAAGAUAUUUGGCCAAGGCCGGUGCUUGGGUUUGCAGUUAGUGCGGCCGAGGAUCCCGAAGCGUUAGGCCUAUGCGUUCGAAAACCCUGACAUUGUGACCAUUAAUGGGUUAAUGUUGCUUGACUUUGUGCCGCUGAUUGUAUUAGUAAUGUUUUUGGUUGCUCCUUGUAGUAAAGUGAAAUAUUAAUAUUGACUAGGGAGGCUGAUUUAAAGCAUUCUCCAUGGAACCCAAAUCAUUAGAUUUUAUAACUCCAGAUAAACUCAAAUUGCUCUUUCUACCUCACAUGUCUUCUCAACUUCACAUAGCCUGCAGUAAGAAGAAGUCAAUAUCAAUGACUUCAUUUCAUAUCCAUUUGUACUGUUCUUAUUGUUGCUUUUAUGGUGAUUUGAACAAAUGAUAUUGCUAUUUUUAGUGACUAGCCAAUUUAACUCAGAGCUUUAGGUCUCCCAUAAUUUCAGUCACCUGUUAAUCAGGUGAACUUAUACCAGAUAUGUCGUUAUAAAGAAUGUAUGUCAAGAGAAGAGAAAGAUAUUAUUUUUCUGCUUGUGUUUGCCAGUUCCUCUAUACUGUAUCUAAUUAUCAAAGUCUUUAGAAACUUGAUUAUUCUGUAGGGUUAUUUAAAAUAUUGUCCAUUUGUUGCUAUUUUGAAAGAGUAUGGUUAUCUUGUACAACUACUUCUGGUAUGAGUGUUUGAAUAAUUUAGUAAAAUGAAUUUGCUCUAUAAUUUGUGAUGAUUAUCUUUACUCUAGUAAAUCAGGAAUAUUCAUGUCAGAAUAUCACUAGAUCUCAGUAGAUUAGGCAUGUUCCAAUUAAAUGCUGUGUGUAAAUGCUGUAGGAAAUAAUGUUUAAAAAUAUAUCUUUCAUUUUACUAUAUUCUUAUAUUGUAAGACAGUUAUUUUCAUGAGAAUCCCUGAAGAUAUGUGAUGAAGGAUUAUGUCAUGAUAUUACAUUUGUAUAUAUACCAGUAAUUGUGGACAUAUAUAUACACGGACACGCACACACACGUGCACACGCACAUGCACAUGUACACGCACACGCACACGCACACGCACACGCACACGCACACGCAC
rnacentral:misc_RNA from 1 species